rnacentral:rRNA from 1 species
UAAGGAAUAUUGGUCAAUGGACGCAAGUCUGAACCAGCCAUGCCGCGUGAAGGAUGAAGGUCCUCUGGAUUGUAAACUUCUUUUAUCUGGGACGAAAACGGGAUUUUUAUCUCAAUUGACGGUACCAGAGGAAUAAGCACCGGCUAACUCCGUGCCAGCAGCCGCGGUAAUACGGAGGGUGCGAGCGUUAUCCGGAUUUACUGGUUUAAAGGGUGCGUAGGUGGGCUUAUAAGUCAGUGGUGAAAUCUCCGAGCUUAACUUGGAAACUGCCGUUGAUACUAUAGGUCUUGAAUUAUCUGGAGGUAAGCGGAAUAUGUCAUGUAGCGGUGAAAUUCUUAGAUAUGACAUAGAACACCAAUUGCGAAGGCAGCUUACUACAUAUAAAUUGACGCUGAGGCACGAAAGCGUGGGGAUCAAACA